CCCUUAGACGUUCUGGGCCGCACGCGCGCUACACUGGCCGGUGCAACAAGCAUCCGUCCUUGGCCGACAGGCCCGGGCAAUCUUUGAACGCCGGUCGUGAUGGGGAUAGACUUUUGCAAUUUUUGGUCUUCAACGAGGAAUUCCUAGUAAACGCAAGUCAUCAACUUGCAUUGAUUACGUCCCUGCCCUUUGUACACACCGCCCGUCGCGCCUACCGAUUGAAUGGUCCGGUGAAGCCUCCGGAUUGGCGCGCACCUCGGUGCCGCCGAGAAGUUGGCUAAACCUUACCAUUUAGAGGAAGGUGAAGUCGUAACA
rnacentral:rRNA from 1 species